UUUGCAGUAGAAGUAUAUCUAAUUCCAUUAGCUUAAAUUUUUGCAAGCAUUUCUAAUCUCUUACAAUACGCGGUCUCUGCAAGGUAAGACCUCAGGUCCCCUGGCCCUUUCCCUCUCACACCUGAGGUCCCACCCACCAGGGCAGUACCAACUGGCUGGCUCCCAGAGGUCAGUGGAUUCUCCCAGGGGGCUUUGCCUAUCAACUUCCUCUAUCAGGCACCAUGCUUUCCACACAUGGUCCCCCUACCAACUCUGACCCCAUUUUCAACCUUUCCCCCCUUGCCAUGUUUGGAAUUUCUCUCCCUGGCUUCACCUGGAGUUUAAGAGUGAAUUAGAAACGCAGCUGCCCAUCACCUGCAGAUGGCUCUGCACCCUGUUGGUGAGGCGGUUCGUUCCUUGGUGCAGCCUGGGACCCUGCCUGAGCCAGAGGAUGUGUUUUGUUUAUCCACAGCCCCCAAAUAUCUCCCAGGCCUAUUGCGACGGGACCCUAACCCCAAUCCUGACUCCCCUCCUGGCUUCCACUAGACCCAGACCAGGGUGGGGGAGGGGGGUGGGUGCAGAUCUGGGAAUCAAGAAGCGCAGGAAAGGAAGUGUUAGAAACCAGAACUGGCAAGCUCACUGUCUUCUCUGCCUCCUCCAGGAUCCACGCACAUCCUCACCCCACAGAAACUGCUGGACACACUGAAGAAACUGAAUAAAACAGAUGAAGAAAUAAGCAGUUAAAAAAAAAGUCGCCCCUCCAAAACACGUCCCCAUCCCACAGCGCUCCGCAGCUUCCCACCACCGCCCGCCUCAGUUCCUUUGCGUCUGUUGCCUCCCCAGCCCUGCACGCCCUGGCUGGCACUGUUGCUGCUGCGUUCUCGUGUUCAGUGAUGCCCUCUUCUCGUUUGAAACAAAAGAAAAUAAUGCAUUGUGUUUUUUAAAAAGAGUAUCUUAUAUAUGUAUCCUAAAAAGAGAAGUUCACGUGCAAUUGGUGCACAGCAGGAGAAAUUUCUGGACUGUUAGGAUGAAUGGACGCCUUCUCCUCGUUAUUUAGGAUUUGUGACCUUGUACAUAACCCUGGGUGACAUGUGCACAUUGCUUGGGUAUGGAACGGUAGAAAUUUGGGUGUUUUUAAAACCUUGUUUGGGGUUGUUCCUGUCCUUGUUGAGAAUCACAGAGAUGUCUGUGUUCUUGGAGUAUUUCACACUGAGGACUAAUCUGUUAUCUUCAUUCCAGUCCCUACCCCUCAGUGCCUGCUCUCAUCCAAAUAACCUGGGAGGUGACAAUCGGGAUAUCUCAGGAGGUCCGAGGUGGAACAAACCUCUUUGCCUUUCCCAGAGUCUCAUACCCCCGGUAGUGCAGCUGUGGGUGGAGGCUGGGGUGUCUGCACGAAGCCAGGCCAGCGUCCUCCUCCACAGCCUGUCACUGCCCCCUCCCCAGCCUGUGUCCACAGUGCUGUGAUCCCGAGGGAAGUCCUCCAUUGUAAGUCACAGUGCCCUGACAGGUGAGAAGCAAACUCCCGCUGGAAGCCUCCAUUUCUUUGGAAAAACAGUUAGUCUGGAGCCUGUGGCCCAGGCCCUUCUGUCCCCAGGCAUCAUCCCAACAGCUCAUUUUCCCUAGUCAGCCUUCGUUCAAGGGUCAGGAAUGGACCAGAACAGAUGGGUUCUGGAGGCCCCUGAACAGAGGGCUAUGGCUGUGGAGAAGGUUCUUGGCCCGUUGGACUCACACAGACCCUGUACCCUCUCAGCAAGCAUCUUCAGUCAGAUUAUCCUCAGUUUCAGAUACUUCAUAAUACCUUGUGUCGUGUGGGGUCAUACAUCAUCGUGUUUGUAAGAGAAGAUGAUCAUUUUAUUCUCUGUAUAAAACUCAGCUCUAAAGCAGAAACUAAAGCAGCAAAUGCAGGAAGGCUGUCUCGCCAUCCUCAAGACUCAGCAGCUCUCAUUCUCCAGUGGUGAGCACACCAUUUGUGCUGCUGCUGUUGUGAAAUAUAAUAACAGUGGAAGUCACAAAAAUGUCCCCUGCCCAGCCCCCUCGCCGCCCUUGACCUCCUGCAGGCCAUGUGUGUAUUACUUGUCUAGUGAUGUCCUCUUAAAGUGCUGUACGCGAGCUCGGCGCCACCUCCGCCUCCCUUUCAGAGCCUGCUCCCCGCCCUCUCCGCUCGCUGCAUUGUGGUGUUCUCUUCUCAAAGCUUUGAAAUCUCCCCUUGCACUGAGAUUAGUCGUCGGAUCUCUCCCCGUCUCCCUCCCAACUUAUACGACCUGAUUUCCUUAGGACGGAACUGCAGGCACCUGCGCCGGGUGUCUUAUUCCCGCUGCUUGUUCUGUCCUCUCCCUCGGACCAAACAGUGCUCAUGCUUCAGGACCUUGUUUGUUGAAGAUGUUGGUUUCCCUUUCUCUGUUAUUUAUAUAAAAAUAAUUUAUCAAAAGGAUAUUUUAAAAAAGCUAGUCUGUCUUGAAACUUGUUUACCUUAAAAUUAUCAGAAUCUCAGUGUUUGAAAGUAUUGAAGCACAAACAUAUAUCAUCUCUGUACCAUUCUGUACUAAAGCACUUGAGUCUAAUAAAUAAAGAAAUCAGCACCCCUUCCCGGUGUCCAGGGG
rnacentral:sRNA from 1 species